ensembl:snRNA U6 U6 spliceosomal RNA
GUGCUUGCUUCAGCAGCACAUAUUAAAAAUUAAACAGAGAAGAUUAGCAUGGCCCCUGCACAAGGAUGACACGCAAUUUGUGAAGCGCUCUUUUUUUUU